rnacentral:lncRNA from 1 species
UUUUUUUCUGAAUGAAUGCUGAUUUUUUUUUUUUCUGGAUGAAUGCUGAUUUUUUUUUAAGAUGAAUUCUGGAUAAAUAUUUUUAGCAAAUUUGAAUGAUUAAUCUUAAUACUAAAUUCUUUCUCUAAUGAUUUUAUGAUCACAAAUUGUGUGCUUCAAAGUCUCAUCUCCUUUUUGUUGAUGACAAAGGGGGAGAAAAGUGAUGACUUGUACCAUUUUUAUAGCAUGACUUAUAUGUAUUGCAAAAGCUUGUGUGAUACGAAUGUCUUAUAUGCCUUGUAAAAUCUUU